CUGGAAACGGGUGGUAAUGCCGGAUGCUCCGACUCCUCGCAUGGGGUGUCGGGAAAGAUUUCAUCGGUAUGGGAUGGGGUCGCGUCCUAUCAGGUAGUCGGCGGGGUAACGGCCCACCGAGCCUACGACGGGUAGCCGGCCUGAGAGGGCGACCGGCCACAUUGGGACUGAGAUACGGCCCAGACUCCUACGGGAGGCAGCAGUGGGGAAUAUUGCACAAUGGGCGCAAGCCUGAUGCAGCGACGCCGCGUGCGGGAUGACGGCCUUCGGGUUGUAAACCGCUUUUGAUCGGGAGCAAGCCUUCGGGUGAGUGUACCUUUCGAAUAAGCACCGGCUAACUACGUGCCAGCAGCCGCGGUAAUACGUAGGGUGCAAGCGUUAUCCGGAAUUAUUGGGCGUAAAGGGCUCGUAGGCGGUUCGUCGCGUCCGGUGUGAAAGUCCAUCGCUUAACGGUGGAUCUGCGCCGGGUACGGGCGGGCUGGAGUGCGGUAGGGGAGACUGGAAUUCCCGGUGUAAC
rnacentral:rRNA from 1 species